GAUCAUGGCUCAGAUUGAACACUGGCGGCAUGCCUUACACAUAGCAAGUCGAACGGUAACAGGUCUUCGGACGCUGACGAGUGGCGAACGGGUGAGUAAUACAUCGGAACGUGCCCAGUCGUGGGGGAUAACUACUCGAAAGAGUAGCUAAUACCGCAUACGAUCUGAGGAUGAAAGCGGGGGACCUUCGGGCCUCGCGCGAUUGGAGCGGCCGAUGGCAGAUUAGGUAGUUGGUGGGAA
rnacentral:rRNA from 1 species